GUAUUUUUGGUGCAAAACAACUGAGCGUCCGUGACAGCGGAAUUUGUAGUUGUAGAGAAUAGCCACACAUGUGUAUCAGUAAAUCUGAAGUCACAGACAAAAGUUGCAAACUUGUAGAUAUUUUUUUCUCUUCCACAAACACAACACAACAGUUACACCUUCUUGAAUCCUUCACUGCAUGUGCACAAAUCCUAUUCUACGAAUCACAAAUCAAGAAACUCGUAUGCUCACAUGUUUUGCUACUAUUGCUGCAGUGAAUAUGGUGCAAAACACAUUCACACACCUGCACCAAAAAAUGUGAAGUCACGGACGAAUUUUGUACAUCCGCAAAUCAGUUUGUGAAUUCUUGCAAUGAGAUUUGCACGCUUGUAGAAUGUUUUCUUACAUAUAUUUUUUUUUCUUGGAUGCUUUUUCUAGCACAAACACAAGUGCAUAACUACAACGGCGUGAAUCUGCUGCUACGAGUCUCAAACACUGUUUUGUCGCUUGCAAAUGACAAGUUUCACGCUCUCUCCCUUUUGCACCACCUAUCUGUGUGAAAAAUGGUGCAAAAGUGAUUUGUGCAUCUGUAGAGGCAACGGCGGGCACUGUUCAGAGAGCAGAGAAUUUCGGCCAAUCAGAAGAGCUCAUUUGGGCGCCUGAAACACGCCCCCUAGUUUUAGCCACAACCCCGAAAAAUCGCGAGCUGCGAGCAUCUUGACAGCGACAAGUAUCAAAAAAGAAAAAUGACAGAUCAGGGUGCAUCUUCGCAGUGUCCCAAGAGCAGCUGAAACAGCUUGUUAAAUUUUGGGUUGGAUGGGAGAUACCCAUGGCUAGCAUGAAAGUGGAGGUGGUUCGAGCGGAAUAUCCCACUUCAUCCACAUGCUUCCGCACCCUUCGCUUACCUGGUUACUACAACAGUUUCAGAGAAUAUAGUGUUCAUUUAGACAACUGCAUUGCAACCUAACUA